UGUUGAGGUCUGCAAGGGCUGCAGUAGGU
rnacentral:piRNA from 1 species